rnacentral:rRNA from 1 species
GAUGAACGCUGGCGGCGUGCCUAAUACAUGCAAGUCGAGCGAAUGGAUUAAGAGCUUGCUCUUAUGAAGUUAGCGGCGGACGGGUGAGUAACACGUGGGUAACCUGCCCAUAAGACUGGGAUAACUACGGGAAACCGGGGCUAAUACCGGAUAACAUUUUGAACCGCAUGGUUCGACAGUGAAAGGCGGCUUAGGAUGUCACUCAUGGCUGGACCCGCGUCGCAUUAGAUAGUUGGUGAGGUAACGGCCCACCAAGGCAACGAUGCGUAGCCGACCUGAGAGGGUGAUCGGCCACACUGGACUGAGACACGGCCCAGACUCCUACGGGAGGCAGCAGUAGGGAAUCUUCCGCAAUGGACGAAAGUCUGACGGAGCAACGCCGCGUGAGUGAUGAAGGCUUUCGGGUCGUAAAACCCUGUUGUUAGGGAAGAACAAGUGCUAGUUGAAUAAGCUGGCACCUUGACGGUACCUAACCAGAAAGCCACGGCUAACUACGUGCCAGCAGCCGCAGUAA